AAUGUUUAGCCAACCCCAAAUGAAUUGAUAUUUUUCACCGUAUAGCCAAUAAAAUUGACUAGUUACACUGCACCCCUAAUUUUGUUAUUUACUCAUAUAAGUUUAACGGUGGAGGGUGAAAAUCAAAAUUUCAUGCAUUAAAUCAAUUUUAUUGGAAACUCUCUUUAUUUUUGGCUCCUUAUUGUGUCCUUUCCUUUUUCGUUUCUUUUUCUUUCUUCUCCUUUGUGUUCUUCAUAUCUUUUUCUUCUUCUCUGUUUCUUCUCCUUCUUCUCCAUUACUUCCCUUCUUCUUCUCCAUUUCUUUUUCUUCUUCUUCUACUCCUUUUCUUCUCAAUCUUUAUACUAGCAAAUGCAGAACAUCAACUACACAAUUGCCACCACCCCACUUUGGAGCGUCAGCUGCUACCUUUGACCGCCACCUCUGAGUUCCUUUCAGGUUUAGUAUUAUGGGUUUAGGGUUUCGUUAGGUAACAUUUGGGUUGUUUUGAAUUAUAAUUUAAGGGUUUGUACUUUGAAAAUCAAGUAAUCAAAAUCAAAUGCGGCAAUUAACAAUUCAUGGGUUAAUUUUGCAGAUUGGGUUGAAGAGUAUGGUGGCGGAUAAGGAAUUUGAGAUGAUGAAAAUAGUUGUGGAAGGGACUGAAAUUAAUGGUCAUUCAAAUUCCAUUAAAUAUGUUGUGGUUUUUUAUUUAUUAUUCUUUGUCUCCAGAUUUCUUUGUGAACAACAAUAUCUUCCUCUGUCAAAAUUUCCUUUGGUGGCUGUGUAGUUUAUAUAAGUUGAUAAGUUCUUCUUUUUAUGGGGAAAAAUAAUAAUGGUGACCAUGUACAUAUAAUAAGAAGUGUUUUUAUUGCAGUUAAAAUAAAAUCUUUUGAACCACUCAGCUAAGCUAGAGCCACUUCCUCACAAGUGUGAGGAAAGUGGUUCGAAUCCUCACAAAAGUAUUAUGAAUGUUUAAUUUAAAAUUCUUUCUUCAAUAUUUGAGUGGAGAUUAAAGUCCCUUGAAUAUUAGAGAGAGUUAAAAUCUAGGUAGUACUAUAUAAAAUUUGAUGUAAACUAGUCUCAGUAAUUAUUUGAUUGUAAAUCUGUAUCACGUAAUAUGGUGUAAUUUGAGCAAUAGCCUC
rnacentral:lncRNA from 1 species